CCUACGGGGGGCUGCAGUGGGGAAUAUUGGACAAUGGGCGAAAGCCUGAUCCAGCCAUGCCGCGUGUGUGAAGAAGGCCUUCGGGUUGUAAAGCACUUUCAGUGGGGAAGAAAGCCUUGGGGCUAAUACCCUCGAGGAAGGACAUCACCCACAGAAGAAGCACCGGCUAACUCCGUGCCAGCAGCCGCGGUAAUACGGAGGGUGCGAGCGUUAAUCGGAAUUACUGGGCGUAAAGCGCGCGUAGGCGGUCUGAUAAGCCGGUUGUGAAAGCCCCGGGCUCAACCUGGGAACGGCAUCCGGAACUGUCAGGCUAGAGUGCAGGAGAGGAAGGUAGAAUUCCCGGUGUAGCGGUGAAAUGCGUAGAGAUCGGGAGGAAUACCAGUGGCGAAGGCGGUCUUCUGGACUGACACUGACGCUGAGGUGCGAAAGCGUGGGUAGCAAACAGGAUUAGAUACCCGGGUAGUC
rnacentral:rRNA from 1 species